rnacentral:rRNA from 1 species
UACGUAGGGGGCUAGCGUUGUCCGGAAUCAUUGGGCGUAAAGAGCGUGUAGGCGGCCCGGUAAGUCCGCUGUAAAAGUCAAAGGCUCAACCUUUGAAUGUCAGUGGAUACUGCCGGGCUAGAGUCCGGAAGAGGCGAGUGGAACUCCUGGUGUAGCGGUGGAAUGCGCAGAGUAGUACAGGCAGGAACAACCAAUGGCGUGAAGGCAGCACUCUGGGACGUG